UAGGGAAUCUUCCGCAAUGGGCGAAAGCCUGACGGAGCAACGCCGCGUGAGUGAUGAAGGUCUUCGGAUCGUAAAACUCUGUUAUUAGGGAAGAACAAAUGUGUAAGUAACUAUGCACGUCUUGACGGUACCUAAUCAGAAAGCCACGGCUAACUACGUGCCAGCAGCCGCGGUAAUACGUAGGUGGCAAGCGUUAUCCGGAAUUAUUGGGCGUAAAGCGUGCGUAGGCGGUUUUUUAAGUCCGAUGUGAAAGCCCACGGCUCAACCGUGGAGGGUAAUUGGAAACUGGAAAACUUGAGUGCAGAAGAGGAAAGUGGAAUUCCAUGUGUAGCGGUGAAAUGCGCAGAGAUAUGGAGGAACACCAGUGGCGAAGGCGACUGUCUGGUCUGUAACUGACGCUGAUGUGCGAAAGCGUGGGGAUCAAACAGG
rnacentral:rRNA from 1 species